rnacentral:lncRNA from 1 species
UUCGGUCUCUCUCUCCUCUCUUCUCAAGAACCAAAGUAGACCGGAAGGACAGGUUGUGAUCGUAGAACAUGACACUAACAACAACUUAGAAGCCUCUAACGGUGAUGCCUCAUGGACUGAGGUUGCCGUCAGUUCGGCACCAUGACCCUUCAAUUUUUCUCUGAUGAUCCACUUAACACACUGGAUAAUCACACAUUCAUAAUGGAUCAAUAUAUGGAACCGCAUUAAAAAAAAUUUUACAUGGAGUUUGAGUUUAAAAACUCAAUUGUUACCUCACCAC